rnacentral:rRNA from 1 species
UACGUAGGGACCAAGCGUUGUCCGGAAUCAUUGGGCGUAAAGAGCGUGUAGGCGGCUUGUUAAGUCUUGCGUGAAAUCUCGGGGCUCAACCCCGAGCGGUCGUGAGAAACUGGCAGGCUAGAGUGCGGGAGAGGAGAGUGGAAUUCCUGGUGUAGCGGUGAAAUGCGCAGAUAUCAGGAAGAACACCCGUGGCGAAGGCGGUCUCCUGGAGCAGACUUGACGCUGAGGCGCGAAAGCUGGGGGAGCGAACGGG